rnacentral:rRNA from 1 species
AGGACGAACGCUGGCGGCGUGCUUAACACAUGCAAGUCGAGCGGUAAGGCCUUUCGGGGUACACGAGCGGCGAACGGGUGAGUAACACGUGGGUGAUCUGCCCUGCACUUCGGGAUAAGCCUGGGAAACUGGGUCUAAUACCGGAUAUGACCUCCUAUCGCAUGGUGGGUGGUGGAAAGAUUUAUCGGUGCAGGAUGGGCCCGCGGCCUAUCAGCUUGUUGGUGGGGUAAUGGCCUACCAAGGCGACGACGGGUAGCCGACCUGAGAGGGUGACCGGCCACACUGGGACUGAGACACGGCCCAGACUCCUACGGGGGGCAGCAGUGGGGAAUAUUGCACAAUGGGCGAAAGCCUGAUGCAGCGACCGCCGCGU